AGCAGUAGCCGCGGUAAAACGUAGGUCCCGAGCGUUGUCCGGAUUUAUUGGGCGUAAAGGGAGCGCAGGCGGUUUAGUAAGUCUGAAGUUAAAGGCAUUGGCUCAACCAAUGUAUGCUUUGGAAACUGUUAGACUUGAGUGCAGAAGGGGAGAGUGGAAUUCCAUGUGUAGCGGUGAAAUGCGUAGAUAUAUGGAGGAACACCGGUGGCGAAAGCGGCUCUCUGGUCUGUCACUGACGCUGAGGCUCGAAAGCGUGGGGAGCAAACAGGAUUAGAUACCCCCGUAGUCCCUGUCUCUUAUACA
rnacentral:rRNA from 1 species